GAAAGCAACACCAUCCUGAGAGGAAAUACUUUUACUUUUAAACCAGAAAAUUAAAGGUGAAGUUUCUUCAAUUCACCCACCAAUUCCCAUCGAUCUUAUUGCCUUGUACAUAACCUCAAACACAAAAGUUUACGUUAAUAAGAUAUGACAAGUUUACAUUAGAGUACAAACUUUGUUGUCCCAAAAAACUGAAAAUAAACAGAUAAAAAAAAAGACUCAAAAAACACACCCAAACAAAAAAAAACAAAAAAAAGUUGCCCUCUUCUCAAGAACAAGAAGAGUACAUAAUCUCUCUACAUAUGAUAGAGCUUGGAGUUGACAGGAAAGUGUGGAACCAGAAUCGGCACUGGAGCUUCAGUUUGAACAAAAUUAGGACUCAAAGUCAGAGGCUGCCUCUCUGGGGCUGUGGUAGCUGCUGAUCCUUGGUUGAAUACAAGAGCACCAUGAAGGCAGCAACAAAUUGAUGAUAAAAAUCCCAUCCUCUCUCUCUCUCUCUCUCUCUCUCUCUCUCUCUCUCUCUCUCCAAUUUUAUAAAUCAAAUGCGAGUUUUCUAUAUCAUCAUCCUCCUCCAUCUUAAAG
rnacentral:lncRNA from 1 species